CUACGGGACGCAGCAGUGGGGAAUUUUGGACAAUGGGGGCAACCCUGAUCCAGCCAUGCCGCGUGAGUGAAGAAGGCCUUCGGGUUGUAAAGCUCUUUCGGCCGGAACGAAAUCGCAUGGGCCAAUACCCUGUGUGGAUGACGGUACCGGAAGAAGAAGCACCGGCUAACUACGUGCCAGCAGCCGCGGUAAUACGUAGGGUGCGAGCGUUAAUCGGAAUUACUGGGCGUAAAGCGUGCGCAGGCGGCUCUUUAAGUCAGAUGUGAAAGCCCCGGGCUUAACCUGGGAACUGCGUUUGAAACUGGAGAGCUGGAGUGUGGCAGAGGGAGGUGGAAUUCCACGUGUAGCAGUGAAAUGCGUAGAGAUGUGGAGGAACACCGAUGGCGAAGGCAGCCUCCUGGGCCAACACUGACGCUCAUGCACGAAAGCGUGGGGAGCAAACAGGAUUAGAUACCCCGGUAGUC
rnacentral:rRNA from 1 species